rfam:Triticum urartu cultivar G1812 contig228244, whole genome shotgun sequence.
AUAGUACUCCCUUCGUCCAAAAAUACUUGUCAGAGAAAUGGAUGUAUCUAGACAUAUUUUAGUUCUAGAUACAUCGAUUUUUGUCCAUUCCUGCAACAAGUAAUUCCGGACAAAGGGAGUAGCAU